rnacentral:rRNA from 1 species
GCACGAGCGCAACCCCUAUCCUCAGUUGCCAUCAUUAAGUUGGGCACUCUGUGGAGACUGCCGGUGUUAAACCGGAGGAAGGUGGGGAUGACGUCAAGUCCUCAUGGCCCUUAUGACCAGGGCUACACACGUGCUACAAUGGCCGGUACAAAGAGUUGCAAUACCGCGAGGUGGAGCUAAUCUCAUAAAGCCGGUCUCAGUUCGGAUUGGAGUCUGCAACUCGACUCCAUGAAGUUGGAAUCGCUAGUAAUCGCGGAUCAGCACGCCGCGGUGAAUACGUUCCCGGGGCUU